ACAACGUGCCCUAAAGUGGAGCAUAAUCUCGGGAAACUGAGGAUAAUUCUCCAUAGACCAUGAGAUCUGGAACGACUUAUGGUUCAAAGUUCCGGCGCUUUAGGAUCGGUCUGCGGCCUAUCAGGUAGUAGUGGGUGUAACGUACCCCCUAGCCAAUUACGGGUAUGGGCCUUGAGAGAGGGAGCCCAGAGUUGGAUUCUGAGACACGAAUCCAGGCCCUACGGGGCGCAGCAGUCGCGAAAACUUCACAAUGGGCGAAAGCCCGAUGAGGGAAUUCCUAGUGCUAGCACAUUUGUGUUAGCUUUUCCUUAGCGUAGAUAACUAGGGGAAUAAGGGCUGGGUAAGACGGGUGCCAGCCGCCGCGGUAAUACCCGCAGCCCGAGUGGUGGUCGAUUUUAUUGAGUCUAAAACGUUCGUAGCCGGUCUGAUAAAUCCUUGGGUAAAUCGGGAAGCUUAACUUUCCGAAUUCCGAGGAGACUGUCAGGCUUGGGAUCGGGAGAGGUAUGAGGUACUUCAGGGGUAGGGGUAAAAUCCUGUAAUCCUUGGAGGACCACCGGUGGCGAAGGCGUCAUACUAGAACGAAUCCGACGGUGAGGGACGAAGCCCUAGGUCGCAAACGGGAUUAGAUACCCCGGUAGUCUAGGGUGUAAACGCUGCAGACUUGGUGUUGGGGGCCCUUCGGGGGCAUUCAGUGCCGGAGAGAAGUUGUUAAGUCUGCUACUUGGGGAGUACGUCCGCAAGGAUGAAACUUAA
rnacentral:rRNA from 1 species